UGCGGGUUUAGACCCGCAGCGGAAAGCUCAGUAACACGUGGCCAAACUACCCUGUGGAUGGGAACAAUCUCGGGAAACUGAGGCUAAUUCCCAAUAACGCUCCACCCCUGGAACGGGCGGAGCUGGAAACGCUACGGCGCCACAGGAUGUGGCUGCGGUCGAUUAGGUAGACGGUGGGGUAACGGCCCACCGUGCCAAUAAUCGGUACGGGUUGUGAGAGCAAGAGCCCGGAGACGGAAUCUGAGACAAGAUUCCGGGCCCUACGGGGCGCAGCAGGCGCGAAACCUUUACACUGUACGCAAGUGCGAUAAGGGGACUCCGAGUGUGAAGGCAUAGAGCCUUCACUUUUGUACACCGUAAGGUGGUGUACGAAUAAGGGCUGGGCAAGACCGGUGCCAGCCGCCGCGGUAAUACCGGCAGCCCGAGUGAUGGCCGAUAUUAUUGGGCCUAAAGCGUCCGUAGCUGGCCGGACAAGUCCGUUGGGAAAUCUGUUCGCUUAACGAGCAGGCGUCCAGCGGAAACUGUUCGGCUUGGGACCGGAAGACCUGAGGGGUACGUCCGGGGUAGGAGUGAAAUCCUGUAAUCCUGGACGGACCACCGGUGGCGAAAGCGCCUCAGGAGGACGGAUCCGACAGUGAGGGACGAAAGCUAGGGUCUCGAACCGGAUUAGAUACCCGGGUAGUCCUAGCUGUAAACGAUGCCCGCUAGGUGUGGCGCAGGCUACGAGCCUGCGCUGUGCCGUAGGGAAGCCGAGAAGCGGGCCGCCUGGGAAGUACGUCUGCAAGGAUGAAACUUAAAGGAAUUGGCGGGGGAGCACUACAACCGGAGGAGCCUGCGGUUUAAUUGGACUCAACGCCGGACAUCUCACCAGCUCCGACAGUAGUAAUGACGGUCAGGUUGAUGACCUUACCCGAUGCUACUGAAAGGAGGUGCAUGGCCGCCGUCAGCUCGUACCGUGAGGCGUCCUGUUAAGUCAGGCAAC
rnacentral:rRNA from 1 species